rnacentral:rRNA from 1 species
AUUGAACGCUGGCGGCAUGCUUUACACAUGCAAGUCGAACGGUAACAGGUCUUCGGAUGCUGACGAGUGGCGAACGGGUGAGUAAUGUAUCGGAACGUGCCCAGUAGUGGGGGAUAACUACUCGAAAGAGUGGCUAAUACCGCAUGAGAACUGAGGUUGAAAGCGGGGGACCUUCGGGCCUCGCGCUACUGGAGCGGCCGAUAUCAGAUUAGGUAGUUGGUGGGGUAAAGGCCUACCAAGCCGACGAUCUGUAGCUGGUCUGAGAGGACGACCAGCCACACUGGGACUGAGACACGGCCCAGACUCCUACGGGAGGCAGCAGUGGGGAAUUUUGGACAAUGGACGCAAGUCUGAUCCAGCAAUGCCGCGUGC